AGCAGCCGCGGUAAUUCCAGCUCCAAUAGCGUAUAUUAAAGUUGUUGCAGUUAAAAAGCUCGUAGUUGAAUUUCGGGAUCAAAUUGUCGGUCGUGCCUCGGUACGCACUGGUAUUAUUGGUUCCUACCUUCUGAAGAACCGCGAUGUCAUUAAUUUGGUGUCGUGGGGAAUCAGGACUGUUACUUUGAAAAAAUUAGAGUGUUUAAAGCAGGCUUACGCUUGAAUACAUUAGCAUGGAAUAAUGAAAUAGGACGUUUGAUUCUAUUUUGUUGGUUUCUAGGAUUGACGUAAUGAUUAAUAGGGAUAGUUGGGGGCAUUAGUAUUCAAUUGUCAGAGGUGAAAUUCUUGGAUUUAUUGAAGACUAACUACUGCGAAAGCAUUUGCCAAGGGUGUUUUCAUUAAUCAAGAACGAAAGUUAGGGGAUCGAAGACGAUCAGAUACCGUCGUAGUCUUAACCAUAAACUAUGCCGACUAGGGAUCGGAUGAUGUUAAUUUUUUAAUGACUCAUUCGGCGCCUUAC
rnacentral:rRNA from 1 species